rnacentral:rRNA from 1 species
CGAACGCUGGCGGCGUGCUUACCACAUGCAAGUCGAACGGUGAAGCGCCUUCCUUUUUGGUGGGUGUGGAUGAGUGGCGAACGGGUGAGUAACACGUGAGUAACCUGCCCCCUUCUUCUGGAUAACCGCAUGAAAGUGUGGCUAAUACGGGAUAUUCUGGGUCUGUCGCAUGAUGGGUCUGGGAAAGAUAUUGUUUCGGUGGGGGAUGGGCUCGCGGCCUAUCAGCUUGUUGGUGGGGUGAUGGCCUACCAAGGCGGUGACGGGUAGCCGGCCUGAGAGGGUGGACGGUCACACUGGGACUGAGACACGGCCCAGACUCCUACGGGAGGCAGCAGUGGGGAAUAUUGCACAAUGGGCGCAAGCCUGAUGCAGCGACGCCGCGUGAGGGAUGGAGGCCUGCGGGUUGUGAACCUCUUUCGCCAGUGAAGCAGGCCUGCCUCGUUUGUGGGUGGGUUGACGGUAGCUGGAUAAGAAGCGCCGGCUAACUACGUG